GGUAAUACCGAAUAAGAUGGCUGGACUAUGGUCUGGUCAGGUAAGGGGCUUUGGCCCCGCCUUAAGAUGGGCCCGCGCCCCAUUAGCUAGUUGGUGAGGUAAAGGCCCACCAAGGCGAUGAUGGGUAGCCGGCCUGAGAGGGUGAACGGCCACACUGGGACUGAGAUACGGCCCAGACUCCUACGGGAGGCAGCAGCUAAGAAUAUUCCGCAAUGGACGAAAGUCUGACGGAGUCGACGCCGCGUGGAUGAAGAAGGCCGAAAGGUUGUAAAGUUCUUUUGCGGAUGAAGAAUAAGUGGUGGAGGGAAUGCCAUCAUGAUGACGUUAGUCCGUGAAUAAGCCCCGGCUAAUUACGUGCCAGCAGCCGCGGUAACACGUAAGGGGCGAGCGUUGUUCGGAAUUAUUGGGCGUAAAGGGCGCGUAGGCGGUUAAACAAGUCUGGCGUGAAAUACAUGAGCUUAACUCAUGAACUGCUCUGGAAACUGUGGAACUAGAGUCAUGGAGGGGGAGUUGGAAUUCCUGGUGUAGGGGUGAAAUCUGUAGAUAU
rnacentral:rRNA from 1 species